ensembl:lncRNA
GUGGGGAAAUUAACAAGAUGGCACCAGUCAGGCUCUCUCACCCCACGCUCUCAUGCCCUCUAGCCCCACGUUACUGUAAACAAUGACAUUGCACGGUUAUGUAACAGUUGAGAUCGCUUAUAGCUCUGCGCACAUGCAUCACGAGGUACUCACUUGGCAACGGGCUACUUUCCUUCCGUAAGUAUAUAUAAGCUCCACCAGGAAAAGCCCUGAGGGUUGUGUGCUGGUUGUUGCAUUAUGUUAUGUCUGCUGCUAUGGCUCCUGCGCUAGCCAGCAGAGAAUAAGCGCGUCCGCAGUUCCUGCGGCUCCUUGCACUUUCUUCCAACGUCUUGGCUCACACCUCGCCUACCGUGCGUCCAGCGAACAUUGCGCGGUGAGAUAGACAGUUGGCGCUGUGAACUGCAUCAGCAAGACAGCUGCCAUCAUGAACAGAAACGUCCUGGUCAGAGACUGCUGCCCCAGCCUGGGUUUCAGAAUGGAGAUGCCAUGAAGCAGAGCAGCUGGCCACAUGGAGAGAGAAACAAGUCAGAUAGAAACUGUUGCUACGAUGAGGAAGCUGAGGUCAAAGUAUGGCAUGAACUCAGGCCAUCUGACCCUAGAGUCUGCUAGGAAUCACCAAGUUCUAU